ACACCUCAUAAUCGAUAGAAACGUUCAACGAAGAACAUUUAAAAAAAAUAUAUUAGAAAAUAUUUUAUUAGAUAUUGCUAGUAUUAAAACAAAGAAAUCGAACCGAACUAUAACAAAUAAAUUUAAAUACCAAUUUUAAGUAUAAAACAACACAGCUUUUUUUUAACAAUAUACAUAUAUUUAUAAAAAUUGUUUAAAAUUUAUCAUCGGAUGAAAUCAAGGCCAAAGUAGAUUCCUACAGGCAAAAAUUAAUGGGACAAGGAAAAACGGACUUGCCAAAAGAUGAAUUUGGUAGAAUAACUUUUCACUGAAAUAAUCAAUAUUCUUAUAAAGCUAGUCCCUGUUUGAGAAUUUUGCAAAUAAACUUGAUACUUUUUGUACGGCGUUUAAAUAUUAACAGGUACGAAAUUUCUUAAAACACUGAAAUAAUCAAUAUUGAAAUAAAGCUAGUCUUUGUUUAAGAAUUUUGCAAAAAAAAUUAUACUUUUUGUACGGCGUUUAAAUAAUAAUAGGUACGAAAAUAGAUUAAAACAAUUCUAAUUUUUUAUUUUUUACUUAUGUAAAUUCAAUCAACAUUGAUUUGAAAUUAUAAUAAUAAAAUUGUGCAUUAUGCCCGUUAAACAAGUCUUCUGAGCUUUACGACAAAAACUGCUCUCAGAGAGUAUUGUAUAAUGGACUAGACAGGAUACGUAUUACCUUUAAAUAACUUAUUGAAAUAAAACAACCACGAUAUACAAGAAAAUAUCUCUCGAACAUUUUUAUGUAUUUUGCAACAUCCUUUAAAACACACAAUUGAGAACUCGAAGGUAUGGUGAGUUUAGAGAAAAGUGUAUAUUUGAUGAAUAGACAGAAUUUUUUUCGCAGUUAUAACAUGUCUUCCAAAAGCAAAAGAUUAAAAUGCGAAAAAUAAAAAUACUUUUUAAGGAAUUAUAAGAAUAAUUAAAUGAGCAAUAAAUACUAUAAGAAGAUUAAUAUAAAAAAUAUAAAAAAGUUAUAAAAAAUACUAAAAAUAUAUAUAAAUGUGAAAAAUCAAUAAUUAGCAUACUACAGUCUGACGGGGCUAAAUCAUUACUAUUGAAAAAUAUUUAUGUAUCAAAAAAUGUGUUUAAUAAAAAAUUAAAUUGUUAAAACUAUGAAAAUAAAUGUUAAUUUAGAAUAUAUGAUAUGUAUAUUCUAAAAAAAUGAACACAAUUUUAAAUGCGCCGUGUUUAAUACAAUAUAUAAUUUUUAGUUAUUGUUUGUACCUUCGCCCGUUUUAAACCACCCUUGAAUUAAAUACAAUAAGAAAAGAACAGCAAAUAUGUAAAAUGGAUUAUUGCUGUGAACAGCAAAUAUAACUAUGCUUAUAAUGGCAAAAUAAUAAUAAAAGAAAAUAUUUUAAAUGCAAAAUGUAACUCCUAUAACUUAUGUGACAAAUCUGUACACAAGUCUUCCAUAUAUUGAAUAAAAUUAUAAAAUUAGUAAUAAUGACAAAGAUUAUAAAUUUUCUUUAAUGGAAUAUAAACCAUCAAUUUACAACAAAUAAUUUAAAAAAUAAUGUAAUUCAUUCAAACAUUAUUUAACCAUAAACAAACUGGAAACGAAUUAAAUACUAUGAAAUACAUUAAUAUGAAAUUAUUGUAUCUAUAAUUUAUAAAUCCAAUAUUAUUGGAACAAUAAAACAUCCAAUAAAAAACCAAAUUCAUUAAAAAAUAUAAAAUUAAAAGUUGAUAUUAAAAACUGACAUUUACAUACAAAAAAACUUAUUUAAAUAACUAAGUGUCCUUGAAAAUACUAUAUAAUAAACUUUUUAAAGGAUAUAUACGUAUGUAUGAAAACUUAACAUUUUAAAAAAUAUGAAAAAUAGACAAUUAUAACCAAAUAAGAUAUUCUUUGAUAAAACGUUAAAGAAUUCAAACCAAAAUUUAAAAAUAAGUAAUCAUUAAUCUUCAUGCGAAGUUUCGUGCUAUGACAAAUUACAAAGAGUGAAUUAGCAAUUGUUAAUUUUGCAUCAACAAUUAUUUAAACAAACUAUUAUGUAAUAAAUAAAUGAUAGCAUUAAUAUUAAUGUUUUGCAAAUUGGUAAAAAUUAUGAUAAAAAAAUUCAACUUAUUAAUAAAUAUAAUAUGAAAUUUAACAUCUAACAUAUAUAUAUAUAUAAAAAAAAGAAACAAAUAAAAUAUUAAUAAUCACAAAUUUAAUGUAAUACAUAAAACAUACAAUUAAUCCAAAGUCUUCCAAAAAGUAUUUAAAAUACUUGAAAAUAAAAUUACCAUAAGAUAAAAAAAAUUAAUAAUUCAACAUCAACAAAUUCGCGUCUUCCAUUUCACGAUAUUAAAAAAUAAUUCGAGAAAGUAAUAAAAUUGUACCCGAUAUUUUUAAUGAAGAUUUUUAUAUUCUAAUAUUCACAAUCGACCGAAGUUAAUAAUAACUGCAUUCAAAGAUAUAGAACAAAAACUGUCAUGUAGAUUCUUAGUAAAAUAUUAAUAAUCACUAAUUUAAUGUAAUACAUAAAAUAUAUAAUUAAUCCAAAGUCUUCCAAAAUAAGUAUUGAAAAUACUUAAAAAUAAAAAUACUAUAACAUAAAAAAAAUUAAUAAUUCAACGUCUUCCUAACAAUGUAAUUUAAAAAACAAUAAAAAAUUAAUAAUAUAACACUGUAUAACAUUGUUAUACGCAAUUUAAUUUAAAAUCUACUAAAAAACUAUAACUAUGCUGUCAUCUUUACAACAAAAAUUUCAAUCCGUCAUAACUCAAAAUUAUCAUGCUACUGCGAAGCCUAAAAAGCGUCGUAAAAGACGUAAGAAGUCACAUAGAAAUGAGGCUUGUUCAUCAUCUUUGUCCACUUCAACAACCACUCAAGUCUUAAAACACAAAACGAUAGCAAAAACUAAACAAUAUUUUCAGCAUGAUAACCGUUUGGGGCUGAAGGAAACAAAAAUGAAACAAACUUUGUUCUCUGCCUCUUCUACUUUCAACAAAUACACUGAAAGUGAUAUACUUUACGGCGAAGUUGCCAAGAAAUUUAAACCCUUAAAUACUAAAACAAGUAAAAAAAAAUCUCAAAAGUCUAUGAAAGCUUUUCCGAAGUAUCAU